CCAUGCCACAAAUCAAUAGACUCAGCAAUAUAAACAGAAUUGAAAGUACUAGAAUUAUUAGUAAUCUCUUGAGCAACGUUUAGUACAAAUAAACCCCCAUUAAGGUAACCUUUAACAAUAAAGUCUUCCCCACGAAUAAUAAUAACUUUAUCAGAUUCAAAACAAGUUUAAGACCUGCUUUGUUGAGAAGCACCCCAGAAGCUAAGUUUCUACGAAGGGAGGGUACAUACAGAACAUUGUUCAAGGAUAAGGUUUUUUCAGAAGUUAAUUUAAGCAGAAAUGUUUCCUUUACCCAUAACUUCAGCUGUAGUGGAGUUGCCCAUGUAGACACACUCUCCAUCAGCAGAUUCCUCAAAGUCAUGAAACAGCUCUUUGUUGGCGCAAAGAUGCCUUGAAGUGCUUGUGUCCAGUAUCCAGUCAGUGUUGUUAGCCACCAUGUUUGCCUCAACAACUACAGCAACAAUGAUAUCACCACACUCAGUAAGGUUGGCUUGGACUGGAGCUUUUCCUCCAUUCUUUGAGCUUUGUCCUUGUCUCUGGUUGCACUGAAAAGCCUUGUGACCAAUUUUGCAAUGAUAUCACCACACUCAGUAAGGUUGGCUUGGACUGGAGCUUUUCCUCCAUUCUUUGAGCUUUGUCCUUGUCUCUGAUUGCGCUGAAAAGCAUUAUGACCAAUUUUGCCGCAACAUAGCAAGAUCCUUUCGACUUCUGAAUAUGGCUCUCCGGCUUAUUGAAGUAAUUCUACUUCUUCACAUGUCCUUUCUUCUGGACUUUCUUCUGUUUUCCUUUAAACCCAUCUUUCACAAAAGUACAAGAAGAUUCCACAAGGUUAGCUUUAGAAGGAUUAAGAGAGAAAGAUUCCAUCUUAUCCUUAAGUCGUUAAGAAUCCUCAUCUUUGAGAAGGUUUGCUUCCUCAGUCUUCAUGUGACUGAUUAGUUCUUGAAGAGUUAAGUUUUUCUUCUUGUGUUUUAGUUAAUUCCUAUAAUCACUCCAGGAAGGUGGAAACUUUUCAAGCAAAACAAUUAGCCUGAAGAAUCUCACACAUUCCCACGCCUUCAUUUAAAACAUCAACAGUUAAAUUCUCAUACUCGUGAACAUGUUCCAUGAUUGGCUUAUCAUCAACCAUUUGAAACUUGAUCCAUUUUCCAACGACAUACUUCUUUUUUCCUGCAUCAUCAACACCAUAUUUAUUGUCCAAACUGUCCCAUAUGACUUUAGCAGAUUUCUAAUUUAUAAACAAAUCAAAAAAAGGGUUAGUCAUAUGGUUAAGCAGAUACCCUCUUACUGUUUUAUUAUCCUUUUCUAAUUUUUUCUUAUCAGCUUCAUCAGCAACAAUAGUAUUAGCAACAUUAGAACUAUUAGCAACAAUAUCAGCAGGAGGAUCCUUAAACAAAACAUAAUCAACUUCUAAUUGUUCAAAAAAAAUUAAAAGUUUCUGGGACCAACAACGCUUAUAAUUAUUUCCAUCUAACGACUCAAGCUUUGAGAGAUCAGGAAGUGUUUUUUUAAAGUGGUAGCCAUUAGUCAAUAUUAUACGUAAAUCGCUUUCAAAUUGUAAGAAAAAUGAGUAGAUAAUAUUAACUAAGAAACAAGAAGGAAAGAAGAACAAUUUAUCAAAAUACUGUGUCGUGGCAAGCCACUGCCUUGAAAGCGAUUUCGGUCGCUCCCUAAGGUUCCACAGCACCUCCAAACACGUGCACUCGUGGCUGGAAGUUUAGAAUUUGCACAAACAGUUGCACAGAAAGAAGAGAAGAUGAAGGUAUUUUCUGUAAUUAUUACAGAAAUUAAAGAAUGUUUUAGGAAGAAUAUUAAUGAUUAGCAAGAUGGAUUCUUG
rnacentral:lncRNA from 1 species